rnacentral:rRNA from 1 species
GAUGAACGCUGGCGGCGUGCCUAAUACAUGCAAGCCGAGCGAACGGACGAGAAGCUUGCUUUUCUGAUGUUAGCGGCGGGCGGGUGAGUAACACGUGGAUAACCUACCUAUAAGACUGGGAUAACUUCGGGAAACCGGAGCUAAUACCGGAUAAUAUUUUGAACCGCAUGGUUCAAAAGUGAAAGACGGUCUUGCUGUCACUUAUAGAUGGAUCCGCGCUGCAUUAGCUAGUUGGUAAGGUAACGGCUUACCAAGGCAACGAUGCAUAGCCGACCUGAGAGGGUGAUCGGCCACCCUGGACCUGAGACCCGGUCCAGACUCCUACGGGAGGCAGCAGUAGGGAAUCUUCCGCAAUGGGCGAAAGCCUGACGGAGCAACGCCGCGUGAGUGAUGAAGGUCUUCGGAUCGUAAAACUCUGUUAUUAGGGAAGAACAUAUGUGUAAGUAACUGUGCACAUCUUGACGGUACCUAAUCAGAAAGCCACGGCUAACUACGU